GAUGAACGCUGGCGGCGUGCUUAACACAUGCAAGUCGAACGGAAAGGCGUGGUUCUUGUGGCGGACGGGUGAGUCACGCGCAAGAACAUGACAUGUGGAGGGGGACCAUAACUGGAAACGGUUGCUAAUACACCGUGGGCAGAAGAGCAAAAGAGGGAAUGCGCCCGAGGGGGGGCUGGCGACUGACUGGCUAGGUGGGGCAGUUAUAGCUUACCGAGGCGAUGAUCAGGCGCUGGUCCGAGAGGACGAUCAGCCACAAUGCUACGGAGAGACGCCGCAGGCUCCGACGGGCGGCAGCAGGGAGGAUUGCUCCGCAAUGGGCGGCCGGCUGACGCAGCACUGCGGGCUGGAUGUAGACGUCCCAGGGGUCAUCAACUUUUUCUCUCGGAGAAGAAACAAUGACGGUAUCUGAUGAAUAAGCAUCGGCUAACUCCGUG
rnacentral:rRNA from 1 species